AAUGAUUAUUUUUGCUGUACUUUACACAAAUAAUCAGGCUAAGUGUAAGACUAUGGCGUAUUUUUGCAAACAAAUCAGCCCUGUUAGGAUUUGUCUUUAGUAAAAAUGGGAGAAUGGAGAGAUAGAAAAAACAUAUUUUAAAAACAAUGGUACACUUGUUAUAAAAUUGUGAUCUCAUCAGUUAUUUUUGAGUUUUCUUUCUACGAUUUAGACUGAACCUGCUUAUUUCUGUGAACCAACCAGUGAUCUCUUAUGGCUGUUCAAAAGUAACAAGAGAGAUAUCACCUUUUGUCAUAACUCAAGUCUUAUGAAUGGCCCUCACCAUAACGAUGCUUUUUGACUGAGCUCUUCUCUAACCUGAAUGCAAGAGGUUAGGCAUGAAUAUCAUCCCCCCUGUUCAGCCUGAAGAAGUUACAGAAGAUGAAUCUUCCUCUCUCUACAGCCCUUAGGAUUAAGGGUUCUCUUACUGAAUGUAUUCUUAAAUUGAACACUUAUUAAUCUUCCAGAUAUCACCUUUUGUCAUAACUCAAGAGUUAUGAAUGGCCUUCACCAUAAUGAUGCUUUUUGACUGAGCUCUUCUCUAACCUGAAUGCAAGAGGUUAGGCAUGAAUAUCAUCCCCCCUGUUCAGCCUGAAGAAGUUACAGAAGAUGAAUCUUCCUCUCUCUACAGCCCUUAGGAUUAAGGGUUCUCUUAUAAAAGGGAGGGGGUAAAUAUGUCAGAGGCAUUUGAACCAGAGAAACUCCAUCUUGAAUAGUCCCUGUGUAAAAUAAGACUGAGACCUACUGGGAUGCAUUCCCAGGAGGUUAGGCAUUCUAAUUCACAGGAUGAGAUAAGAAGUCUCCACAAGAUACAGAUUAUAAAGAUUUGGCUGAUAAAACUGUUUGUGAUAAAGAAGCUGGCCAAAACACACCAAAACCAAGAUGCCAACAAAAGUGUCCUCUGGUUGUCCUCACUGCUCAUUAUAUGCUAAUUAUAAUGCAUUAGCAUGUUAAAAGACACUCCCACCAGUGCAAUGACAAUGUACAAAUGCCUUGGCAACAUCAAGAAGUUACCCUAUGUGGUUUAAAAAUGGUAGGAACCCUCAGUUCUGGGAAUUGCCCACCCCUUUUCUGGAAAACUCAUGAAUAAUCCACCCCUUAUUUAGCAUAUAAUCAAGAAAUAACUGGAAGUAUCCUUAGUGAAGCAGCCCAAGCCACUACUCUUCCUAUGGAGUAGACAUUCUUUCAUUAGUUAACUUUAUUAAUAAACUUGCUUUCACUUUGUAGAUUCACCUCAAAUUAUUUCUUGCAUGAGAUCCAAGAACCCUUUCUUGGGGUCUGGAUCUGGACUCCUUUACAGUAACAAUGAGAUUUAAAAAUAUUAUUU
rnacentral:lncRNA from 1 species